GACGUAGGGCGCGAGCGUUUGUCCGGAUUUAUUGGGCGUAAAGAGCUCGUAGGCGGCUUGUCGCGUCGACUGUGAAAACCCCGUGGCUCAACCAUGUGGUCUGCAGUCGAUACGGGGCAGGCUAGAAUUCGGUAGGGGAGACUGGAAUUCCUGGUGUAGCGGUGAAAUGCGCAGAUAUCAGGAGGAACACCGGUGGCGAAGGCGGGUCUCUGGGCCGAUAUUGACGCUGAGGAGCGAAAGGCGUGGGGAGCGAACAGG
rnacentral:rRNA from 1 species